rnacentral:lncRNA from 1 species
AUUUCUUUCUGUAGCUGGCAAAUUGCCUCUACCAAACUCUUGGAGUUACUUGUCUCUCAUGCUCGUGUCUAUGUAUGUGUCCACACAUACAUAUACACAGCAUGUAGUGAAAUAAUCUUUUUAUGCUUUCCAAGAGUGUUUGAAAACUUAACCUGCAUGUGAAUGAAAAUGAACCUGUCUUUGUCCGUUUUGUUUUCAUAGGGUUUCCCUGGUCCUCGAGGAGAAAAGGGUGAUAUAGGAGAAAAGGGAGAAAAGGGAUUCCGUGGAAUUAAGGGGGAAAAAGGGGAGCCAGGCCAACCUGGCCUGGAUGGGCUGGAUGCCCCUUGCCAAUUGGGUCCCGAUGGAUUACCAAUGCCUGGCUGUUGGCAAAAGUGAUGAAUCUAACCUUACAAGCAUGAAGUUGUGUAUAUAGCGCUCCACUUCUUUUAUUUAUAGUUGAAAACUGAAAAUUUGGUUUUACAAGUCUGAGAUAUGUUUACAUGUAGCUGCUUCUACUUGUUUGCAAUAGUCCAUACGUACUUUUUCACUUACAUCUGCAGUUAGGUGAUACUGCAGGGUAAACCUGCAAAGAUUGUCUCUCUAAUGAGAGAUAUCAAAACAACGAUCAAUAAUAGAAAUUAAUAUUUCUGUAAAUUCUUAUAUUUUGGCUUGUGGAUAUGCAUGGACAAUGAGUGCCAUGAACUAGUUUACAAGAAAUUGUGACCAAAUAAGAGCAAAAUUCUAUAUGUACUGUACCAGCUGCCAUUGGAGUUUAUUGACUUGGUUUCCGUGUCCAUCUUAAAUACUUCACUGAUUCAUGACACCAUAUCUGCUUGUAUGAACUAAAAGCAUGAGUUCGUGUGCCAAACCUGCUUGUUGUGUGAUCACGUCACGCGCUAAAUGGCUGCUCACGGUGACCUUUGAUUCCAGCUUCUGAAUAAUUUCCUUUUGUCAUCUCAAGGGAGUCACACCAUGGCUCAUUGCUAAAAAGAGAUAAACCAGAGGAGCAUAGAAAGAGGCCUUGAAUUUUUGGGGAAU